AUGUUGACCCAGUCUCCUGAGGCAGCAGUGGCAAUGGUGGCGCCCGGAGGCCAGCGAGCGGUUCUGAAAGGGACAGUCAGUUCAGUCAUAUCAUGGCAGAGGCCUUGGAGGGGAGCGGCUCUGCAGCUGUCAGUGGGAAUAAAACAGAAGAGAGUUUGGGUGGCAAGGAGGAGAGUUGAGGGUGGUGGCGGCCGGCAGGUUCCAGCUAAUGAGGCGAGAACAGCUUCAGAGGGCAAGAGCGAGGAAGCUGGGCAGCGAGGGAGAAAAUGAAAGAAAGAGAGAGAACGACAGAGGAGAAUAAUAAAAGAGUCGGAGAAGUGGCGGCGCGAAGCGUGCAGAGGUGAUGCACACCCAGAGGGAACCCUCCUGCUUCAUGCAAACGUCAGUCCAAUGAGAUUCCACUGCGAUUUGGUCGGUGGCGUGCGGCAGGGGAAAUCAGCCACUUCCAGUUAAAGCUCCCAGAGCUCCUCAACCUUCGUGUUUGUUUCGGAGGAAAAAAGAUGUCCUGCUUUACAUGGAAACAUCCAGCAGCAAAUCAAACUCUACAAUGUGAUUGUUUCAAGGUUUAAAAUGCUUUUCUUCAGGAGGAACAAAGCGCAGUAAAAACAGCUGAUUAAAGACAGGAAGUACAAAGCCCUCAGGAGCUCUUCACUUUAGAGAACUUCUGCAUGCGGCACAGAGAGAACAUGGUCUACUACGUGUCUUAUUAUCAUCAGAACAAAAAGUUUUAUCACUUCACAGAAACUUUGCUGUGAACCUGUGAGCAGGUUUUUGGAGAAGCGGAUGCAGACAGUCUCAUUUGAGAGUUAAUGUGAAUGAAUUAAGAUGCUCUGAGACCCGAUCGCUCAGAACCACAUUCAGAGGUCUGAGAUCUGGAAAUUCUGUUGAUUGUGAACAAGAAUGUGUCGUGUAGGAAUGGUUAGACUCAUCGAUUACACCAAUUAUAAAGUCAAAAUGUAUAUUUUUAUCUCUGUAUUGUGCUGUCGUCUCCAGUUUCUGUCCAACAGGGACAGGAAGUUCUGUUUCCGGUAUUCUUUAUGAUAUUUUAAAGUUUCAUGAAAAACAAUAAAAGUAGUUGAUGACUAAUCCUGCACUCGUACAAUAAUUUUGCAUCCAUCUCUUAUGUCACUGGUGGAGUGUCUCUUUGGGCCGAUGUGUUACAGACAUCUAUCAUAAAUCCCAUUCUGGUCGGACUCUAACACCUUCUAAUGCCAGGAAGCAUUGGCAGUAUAUAGAACGGACAGAGCUUCCAGGAAGUGUCUUAAACCUGCAGAUAGUAUUGAGUCUUAUGGAGAAGUUGAUUUAUUAGCUCAGUAAACAGUUUCCUGGUGAGUUUAUGGUCUCAGUCUCUAGUUUCAGUCUUCUUCCAUACAGCAUGAUGUUCAUUUAGUAAAUGAUGGUCCCAUUUAGAGUAAAAUAGACCAUAAAGCAGGCAAAUAUAAAAAAAUAACACACCAAAGAAAUACACUUAAAACAGAUCAAAUCUGUUUCACCUCCGCUGGCUCCGACUAACUGUCAUGGCAAUGAUCAUAACGGCAAACUGGAGGCUUCAGAACUGACACUUAAAGGUAGGUUGCAUAUUAAUCAGUGAACACGACUUUUGUUGUUACUAUUCAGCCCUGAAAAUGAAUCCUUCAGUCUACUGUUUAUAUUAAAGUCCAUUUCAACAUCUGCCUUUAAAACUAAACAAUUAAUCAAAACAUUAUCUAAACAAAGGAUCACAAUAUGCACAGCUGCAAUUUAUUGAUAAAGGUAACAUGAGUGAGAACACAGCAUCAUAAUGAAGUCCUGUAGUUCUGAAUAGACAUCCUGGUUUCACAUCCAUACAUACAAAACACAUUCAGGAUCCAGCAGACUGGAUCUGAUCCAGCACGCAGUCCUGCUUCACGCUCACACCCUCUGCAGACUCGGCGGGUUAAUAAGUGUAAAUCCGCAGCCGCUUCUUUCAGGAAAACUGUCACAUCUGUCACCACAUGCACAUCCACCACAGCGGCGUUAAACCCUCAGAGCGCGCUCUGCACACGUUCAGAAUACGCUCUGCAUGCUGCUGCAGCUUUACAUCUGACGGCUGACCUUUGGCAUGUAUCACACAUCUCCGUCUCUCGCCUCACAUGGAAGACGCUUCCCGUGAGCCCCCGUACGGCUGAAUGGAAAGCGUCAUGUGACCUGCUGCGAGGGGGAACGUGAGAAUGAACUGUUAAUGAAUGUGUAAAUGUCUCAGUCAGACUGCGAGCAGCUUGUUGUGUGUAAGACGUUCAGAUAAGACGUAAGAUGUUCAAAAACGUUGGUGCAGUUUGUAGAACGACUCUCAUGCACUCGGCUGUUAGCGUGCUAGCUAACCAGCAGAAGCAGCAUGUUUAAUGGAGUUUAAAUAAUCUAACAGCUUUUGCAAAUUUAUGACUUUUAUGAGUUUCCAAUAGUUGUCGUAUACACUUUAAAAGGACUGUUAUCUUUUAAGGUAACUCAUUUUGUGAAGGAAAUUCAGACUUUUUACCUGAUUUUAUUAAUAAUGAGCCAAUAAACAGCUUUGAUUAUCAUGAAUACAAUAUGACAAUAUGUUUCCUGCAGUAAAGAAAAACAGGUAAAUCUGCAGUUUAUUGACACUGAGAGAAGAUUAGGACUAAAUGUGUAAAUCCACACAUUGUUCCUUAUAUACAGUGUGUUUGUGUGUGAAUCUAACAGUGGAGAACUUUAAAAUCUAAAAAAAGAAGAAUAAUAGAAAAAGAUUAUUAUUAUUAUUAUUAUUAUUAUUAUCAUCAUUAACUUUGUUGUGACCACUGCAGGCCUUCAUAUUAGUGGAUGAAGCCAAGUUACUUCUGAAUUGCAGGUAAAUCAGAAUUAAUUCUCAAAUAAAUUGAUUGUUUGCAAUAUUUGUAUCACAGAUAAAUUAUAUAAUAUUGAACAUUAUCUUUAAAUUAAUUUUUUUAAAAGAAAAGUAGUUUUUGCAGUAAACAAACACUCAUUAUUAUUUAUGCUAAAGACCUAAGAAGAAAAUGUUUUAUGCUAGUCCCCUCUUGGUAGCGUAGACUGACAGUCCACUGUUGGUAAUAAAAUUGUGUAUGUGUGUGUGUGUGUGUGUGUGUGUGUGUGUGUGUGUGUGUUAUACGGCAGCGGUUUUCAACCUUUUUCCUUUAGGGACCCUUUUUCUAUCAUUGAGUUAAGUGACAUAUUUAUUUAAUAUAUUCAAUAAUAACAAUAACAGCAGAGAACAGCUGAUAAUCUGAACAAUGAAUCCUAUCAGUGAACACAUUAACUGCAGGAAGUUUGUGUAAUACAAGUUAUUUGGAUGAAUUUUGAGCAGAUUAUUAAAUAUUUCAUCAGGGUUUUAUACAAUUCUCUGUAUUGUGUAUUUAAUUGACUUAAUAAGCAUCUUUUUAGACAAAUCUAGUGUUUUCUUUUAUCUGAUGCUUUGCCAUUUUGUGCUAGCGCUUCAGUCUUCUGUGUAGAUUUUUAAAGUUUCUUGCAGCCCAUAAAAUCAAGAAGGCCAUGCGACCCCCACAUAAAGCCUUAGUGACCCCUAGAGGGGGUCCCGACCCCCAGGUUGGCAACCACUGUUGUGCACAGUGAAUGAAGUGAGUUUGAAUGACCGAAAGAAGGUCACAAAAUGAAUCUUCCGGAUAAAACGGAUAAAGUUACGAGACAGAUGACAUGAGCAGAGGGGUUGCUCAGUGAAACAACACACACACACACACACACACACACACACACACACACACACACACACACACACACACACACACACACACACAGCUUGAGUGUGAAAUGUGCUGCAGCCGAGCUGCACAUGUUUGGCAGCAAGUUGAUCCUGGUAGCCUGGAGGUCAGCCAGCACACGCAUGCACGCACGCACGCAUGCGCACGCACACACACGCACACACACACGCACACACACAAGCACACACACAAGCACACACACAGUUUAAUGGGUUUUAUGCUUUGGAUGUGAGAUUCAUGCAUUCCUGACACACUGCACGUCGAGCCAACGUUGAAACAAACACAGGUGGCUGCUGACGGAAAACAGAGCGACUGCGAGACGCCACGAACCGGAACGCUUCACAUUCCUGAACCUCAAAAAAUAAAAAGUCUUUAUCAGUCGGAGACACGUCGGAUCGUCUCUGCGAGCGCUCAGCCGUGAACAGCAGGUAAUGAUCCUCCGCCCUCGCAGGGGGACGUACGUUGGACCUGCUUGCUGUACUGUGGCUGAUUAACAUGGACGCCCAGGAUCCGUUUCCAGAAGCUGCUGACGAAGCUGAACAAACUGACAGGAAGGAAAGAAGAAGAAUACUAAAACUAUCUUUCUCUCAAAGUGAGGCGGAAAAUGAACCCGAUUCCACAUCCGCAGGGAAUCAAACCCCUAACCCCAGAAGUGAAAGGCCAGAUUCACUCUGACAUCAAAGGAAUAGUUCAUCAUUUUUUAGUAAUAAUCUGAUUUCUUUCCGAGAACGUCGACAGCUCGACACUCUUUAAUCAAUACUGACAUACACAGAGGAACAUCUACUCACAUCACUACGAUCAAUAUCUACACUGUCUUUAUUCAAAAAACAUCUGGAAAUGAAAAGAACACUUCUCAAUAUAAUAAUGUUAUUUUAUCUGCUAAAACAACUGUACAUUUCUAUCACUCUUGUUUUCAUCUGUUUUUCUCUUUUUAAAGUCUGAUUAUAUUUAUAAAGCGGAGGAAUCUUCAUUAGACAUCUUUGGCUCCUGCACAUUGUUCAAUUUUUUUUAAAUUACCAUAUAUAUAUUUAUACACACCCAUUUGCAAAUAAAUGAAUAAAGUAGACAGAAGCUGGAAAGCCAGUUAGCUUAAACAGGGAGAAAUAAGUGAAUAUAUCAAAGAACUUACUGGUCCCAUCAAGAAACUAGUCCAGCGACCCACAAAAAGUCAGAGCAAGAAGUUUCCUGAAUUGUAAUAAAGAAUCUUAGUUAGUGACAAUCUUCCCAAUAUGGAUUAUUGUUCAUAAGACAACCGCGGCAUUUUAAACAAAUGGUUCAUUAAAAAUUCCUGAUUCCUCGAGAAAUUGUUGCUAUCUCCAACAACAGCUCCUCCAGCUCUCUAAUUACCUGAAAAAGUUUUCGAUGCCUGAUUUAAAGUUUCAUCAUACCUGGAGGGUUCAGCAUCCGGGCUAGCUGCAGGCAUGCUAACACUAGCU
rnacentral:lncRNA from 15 species